UGAUGUUCUCAGGGCGGGGUGAAAGUCCCCACCGGCGGUAAGGGCUAUGGCCUGAGCCCGCGAGCGCCUUCUCAAGCCUUGGUUUGGGAAGGGUCAGCAGAUCCGGUGUGAUUCCGGAGCCGACGGUUAGAGUCCGGAUGAAAGAGAAUGAGC
rnacentral:ncRNA from 2 species